UAUGGACUCAGCAAUAUGUGUGUGUAUGGACUCAGCAAUCUGUGUGGGUAUGGACUCAGCAGUCUGUGUGGGUAUGGACUCAGCAGUCUGUGUGUGUGUGUGUGUAUGGACUCAGCAGUCUUUGUGUGUGUAUGGACUCAGCAGUCUUUGUGUGUGUGUGGACUCAGCAGUCUUUGUGUGUGUAUGGACUCAGUCUCUGUGUGUGUGUAUGGACUCAGCAGAG